rnacentral:lncRNA from 1 species
UGGGCUUGGGUUAACCUAAUCUCCCAUAGAGUUGGUCAAGGGAGUUUUGGGUUUGGGUCACUUGAUCCUAUGUUUAUAUAUACAUGUACUGUAUAGGUUUGAUUAAGCCAAGGAAUACAUAACUCUUUCUCCUAAGUCUCUCUCUCUCUUCUUCCUCUCUCUCCAGCAAUUCUCCACACCCCAGGAGCAAGAAACCCUAAGGUUUCUUGCCUCCAGGUCCCGAAAAGGAAAGAAAAGAAGGGGAGGCGCUAGCCCCUCCCCCUUGGUGCCACCAACCAGAUUCCCCCUCUCUCUCUUGUAGCCACCCAAGCAUCAGGUCCAGGACCUGAAAUCUCUUGAUAAGAGGUUGGUACAAGUUUCUUUCAGAUCUGGAGUUGAUCUG